UACAGAGGUCUCGAGCGUUAGGCGGAAUCACUGGGCUUAAAGCGUGUGUAGGCGGGUCGGUAAGUACCUUGUGAAAUCCCACGGCUCAACCGUGGAACUGCUGGGUAUACUGCCGAUCUUGUGCAACCUAGGGGCGAGCGGAACAGAUGGUGGAGCGGUGAAAUGCGUAGAUAUCUGGAGGAACACCGGUGGCGAAGGCGGCGUCCUGGACCAACACUGACACUGAUGAGCGAAAGCCAGGGGAGCAAACGGG
rnacentral:rRNA from 1 species